UAGGGAAUAUUGGGCAAUGGGCGCAAGUCUGACCCAGCAACGCCGCGUGAGGGAAGAAGGUUUUCGGAUUGUAAACCUCUGUCCUAUGUGACGAAGGAAGUGACGGUAGCCAAGGAGGAAGCCACGGCUAACUACGUGCCAGCAGCCGCGGUAAUACGUAGGUGGCAAGCGUUGUCCGGAAUUACUGGGUGUAAAGGGAGCGCAGGCGGGAAAUCAAGUUGGAUGUGAAAUGUCGGGGCUUAACCCCGGAACUGCAUCCAAAAACUGAUAUUCUUGAGUGAAGUAGAGGUAGGCGGAAUUCCGAGUGUAGCGGUGAAAUGCGUAGAUAUUCGGAGGAACACCAGUGGCGAAGGCGGCCUACUGGGCUUUAACUGA
rnacentral:rRNA from 1 species